CCUACGGGAGGCAGCAGUAGGGAAUCUUCCACAAUGGGCGAAAGCCUGAUGGAGCAACGCCGCGUGGGUGAAGAAGGUCUUCGGAUCGUAAAACCCUGUUGUUAGAGAAGAAAGCGCGUGAGAGAAACUGCUCACGUUUCGACGGUAUCUAACCAGAAAGCCACGGCUAACUACGUGCCAGCAGCCGCGGUAAUACGGAGGUGGCAAGCGUUAUCCGGAUUUAGUGGGCGUAAAGGGAACGCAGGCGGUCUUUUAAGUCUGAUGUGAAAGCCCUGGGCUUAACCUGAGUAGUGCAUUGGAAACUGGGAGACUAGAGUGCUGAAGAGGAGGGUAGAACUCCAUGUGUAGCGGUGAAAUGCGUAGAGAUAUGGAGGAACACCAGUGGCGAAAGCGGCUCUCUGGUCAGUAACUGACGCUGAGGUGCGAAAGCGUGGGUAGCAAACAGGAUUAGAUACCCUGGUAGUC
rnacentral:rRNA from 1 species